rnacentral:rRNA from 1 species
UACGUAGGGGGCGAGCGUUAUCCGGAUUUACUGGGCGUAAAGCGCAUUAAGGCGGCCGGCAAAGUUGGUGGUGAAAUUUCAGGGCUCAACCCUGAAACUGCCUCCAAUACUGGUUGGCUAGAGUGUGAGAGAGGAAGGUGGAAUUCCCGGUGUAGUAGUGAAAUGCGUAGAUAUCGGGAGGAACACCAGUGGCGAAGGCGGCCUUCUGGCUCACAACUGACGCUGUAGUGCGAAAGCGUGGGGAGCGAACGGG